UACGGCGGGUGCAAGCGUUAAUCGGAAUUACUGGGCGUAAAGCGCACGCCGGCGGUUUGUUAAGUCAGAUGUGAAAUCCCCGGGCUCAACCUGGGAACUGCAUUGGAAACUGGCAAGCUAGAGGCUCGUAGAGGGGGGUAGAAUUCCAGGUGUAGCGGUGAAAUGCGUAGAGAUCUGGAGGAAUACCGAUGGCGAAGGCGGCCCCCUGGACUAAGACUGACGCUCAGGUGCGAAAGCGUGGGGAGCAAACAGG
rnacentral:rRNA from 1 species